GCCUCCAUAGAAAUGCGGCCCCCGUGGCCGGGGUUCAAUCCCGCGACCUCGUGCUUAGCAGCGCAAAACCUUAGCCACUAAGCGACCACGGUGGCUGCAUAACCAGUCCA
rnacentral:lncRNA from 1 species